rnacentral:rRNA from 1 species
GAUGAACGCUAGCGGGAGGCCUAAUACAUGCAAGUCGAGCGGUAGAGUGACUUCGGUUGCUUGAGAGCGGCGCACGGGUGAGUAACGCGUACAUGACCUACCUUUAAGACUGGGAUAGCCCUGGGAAACUGGGAUUAAAUACCGGAUGUGAUAAUACGUAUAGAGAUGUAUUAUUAAAGUUGAGGCGCUUAGAGAUGGAUGUGCGUCUGAUUAGCUAGUUGGUAGGGUAACGGCCUACCAAGGCUACGAUCAGUAGGGGGCGUGAGAGCGUGGCCCCCCACACGGGUACGUGAGACACGGACCCGACUCCUACGGGAGGCAGCAGUAA